rnacentral:lncRNA from 1 species
UUUAGGUAAAGGAAACAAUAUAAAACUUGAUUAGCAACAAGCUAAGGAGGAAUGGGAGGUAAGAUGGGUAACCUCGUAGGGAGCUCAUAUCCAACGUUAUCUCGGUCAUAUAAGAACCAGUUUAUUGAGCAAGUCUUUCCAGUGUAUAUGUGCAACCAUACGAGCCAAAAAGGUAUAGCCUUCGGGAAUACCUAUUUAUGUAAAGACUUGAUUCACACCCCACUAAAGAGUCUAGUAAACCAUCCCAAGGGGCCAUGGUGGGUAACAGAUGAACCGGAGUAGGACUUUCGCAUAGUCCCAAGUCUGGCCGGUAUGGGUCAUU